rnacentral:rRNA from 1 species
UACGUAGGGGGCGAGCGUUGUCCGGAAUCAUUGGGCGUAAAGAGUGUGUAGGCGGCCAUGUAGGUCCGGUGUGAAAACUCGAGGCUUAACCUCGAGAUGUCAUCGGAAACCAUUUGGCUAGAGUCCGGAAGAGGAGAGUGGAAUUCCUGGUGUAGCGGUGAAAUGCGCAGAUAUCAGGAAGAACACCAAUGGCGAAAGCAGCUCUCUGGGACGGUACUGACGCUGAGACACGAAAGCGUGGGGAGCGAACAGG